GCAGUCGUGGCCGAGUGGUUAAGGCGAUGAACUAGAAAUCCAUUGGUGUCUCCCCGCACAGGUUUGAAUCCUGUCGACUGCG
rnacentral:tRNA from 2 species